rnacentral:rRNA from 1 species
CUCCUUGGGUGGCGAGUGGCGGACCGGUGAUGAAUACAUCGGAAUCUACUCUGUCGUGGGGGAUAACGUAGGGAAACUUACGCUAAUACCGCAUACGACCUACGGGUGAAAGCAGGGGAUCUUCGGACCUUGCGCGAUUGAAUGAGCCGAUGUCGGAUUAGCUAGUUGGCGGGGUAAAGGCCCACCAAGGCGACGAUCCGUAGCUGGUCUGAGAGGAUGAUCAGCCACACUGGAACUGAGACACGGUCCAGACUCCUACGGGAGGCAGCAGUGGGGAAUAUUGGACAAUGGGCGCAAGCCUGAUCCAGCCAUACCGCGUGGGUGAAGAAGGCCUUCGGGUUGUAAAGCCCUUUUGUUGGGAAAGAAAUCCAUCUGGUUAAUACCCGGGUGGGAUGACGGUACCCAAAGAAUAAGCACCGGCUAACUUCGUGCCAGCAGCCGCGGUAAUACGAAGGGUGCAAGCGUUACUCGGAAUUACUGGGCGUAAAGCGUGCGUAGGUGGUCGUUUAAGUCCGUUGUGAAAGCCCUGGGCUCAACCUGGGAACUGCAGUGGAUACUGGGCGACUAGAAUGUGGUAGAGGGUA